UUUGAACGCUGGCGGCAGGCCUAACACAUGCAAGUCGAACGGUAGCACAGAGAGCUUGCUCUCGGGUGACGAGUGGCGGACGGGUGAGUAACGUCUGGGAAACUGCCCGAUGGAGGGGGAUAACUACUGGAAACGGUAGCUAAUACCGCAUAACGUCGCAAGACCAAAGUGGGGGACCUUCGGGCCUCACACCAUCGGAUGUGCCCAGAUGGGAUUAGCUAGUAGGUGGGGUAAUGGCUCACCUAGGCGACGAUCCCUAGCUGGUCUGAGAGGAUGACCAGCCACACUGGGACUGAGACACGGCCCAGACUCCUACGGGAGGCAGCAGUGGGGAAUAUUGCACAAUGGGCGCAAGCCUGAUGCAGCCAUGCCGCGUGUGUGAAGAAGGCCUUCGGGUUGUAAAGCACUUUCAGCGAGGAGGAGGCUACUUUAGUUAAUACCUGGAGAUAGUGGACGUUACUCGCAGAAUAAGCACCGGCUAACUCUGUGCCAGCCGCCGCAGUAA
rnacentral:rRNA from 1 species